rnacentral:rRNA from 1 species
CCUACGGGCGGCAGCAGUAGGGAAUAUUGCGCAAUGGGGGAAACCCUGAAGCAGCAACGCCGCGUGGAGGAUGCAGGUUUUGGGAUUGUAAACUCCUUUUGUUAGAGAAGAUAAUGACGGUAUCUAACGAAUAAGCACCGGCUAACUCCGUGCCAGCAGCCGCGGUAAUACGGAGGGUGCAAGCGUUACUCGGAAUCACUGGGCGUAAAGAGCGCGUAGGCGGGACAGCAAGUCAGAUGUGAAAUCCUAUGGCUUAACCAUAGAACUGCAUUUGAAACUGUUAUUCUAGAGUAUGGGAGAGGUAAGUGGAAUUCUUGGUGUAGGGGUAAAAUGCGUAGAGAUCAAGAGGAAUACUCAUGGCGAAGGCGACCUGCUAGAACAUAACUGACGCUGAUGCGCGAAAGCGUGGGGAGCAAACAGGAUUAGAUACCCGAGUAGUC